rnacentral:rRNA from 1 species
UACGUAGGGUGCGAGCGUUAAUCGGAAUUACUGGGCGUAAAGCGUGCGCAGGCGGUUAUAUAAGACAGUUGUGAAAUCCCUGGGCUCAACCUAGGAAUUGCAUCUGUGACUGUAUAGCUAGAGUACGGUAGAGGGGGAUGGAAUUCCGCGUGUAGCAGUGAAAUGCGUAGAUAUGCGGAGGAACACCGAUGGCGAAGGCAAUCCCCUGGACCUGUACUGACGCGCAUGCACGAAAGCGUGGGGAGCAAACAGG